rnacentral:misc_RNA from 1 species
GAUGAAGAACGCAGCGAAAUGCGAUAAGUAGUGUGAAUUGCAGAAUUCAGUGAAUCAUCGAAUCUUUGAACGCACAUUGCGCCCGCCAGUAUUCUGGCGGGCAUGCCUGUUCGAGCGUCAUUUCAACCAUCAAGCCCCCGGGCUUGUGUUGGGGACCUGCGGCUGCCGCAGGCCCUGAAAAGCAGUGGCGGGCUCGCUGUCACACCGAGCGUAGUAGAUUUUAUCUCGCUCUGGGCGUGCUGCGGGUUCCGGCCGUUAAACCACCCUUUUAACCCAAGGUUGACCUCGGAUCAGGUAGGAAGACCCGCUGAACUUAAGCAUAUCAAUAAGCGGAGGA